CGGCGUGCCUAAUACAUGCAAGUCGAACGCAUUGUGGUUGAAAUGAUAUGAAGAACUUGUUCAGAUUUGAUUUUAAACAUUGCAAUGAGUGGCGAACGGGUGAGUAACACGUGGGAAACCUACCUCUUAGCAGGGGAUAACAUUUGGAAACAAAUGCUAAUACCGUAUAAUAAUUAAAACCGCAUGGUUUUAGUUUAAAAGAUGGUCUUGCUAUCACUAAGAGAUGGUCCCGCGGUGUAUUAGUUAGUUGGUGAGGUAAUGGCUCACCAAGACAAUGAUACAUAGCCGAGUUGAGAGACUGACCGGCCACAAUGGGACUGAGACACGGCCCAUACUCCUACGGGAGGCAGCAGUAGGGAAUCUUCCACAAUGGACGAAAGUCUGAUGGAGCAACGCCGCGUGUGUGAUGAAGGGUUUCGGCUCGUAAAACACUGUUGUAAGAGAAGAAUGACAUUGAGAGUAACUGUUCAAUGUGUGACGGUAUCUUACCAGAAAGGAACGGCUAAAUACGUG
rnacentral:rRNA from 1 species